rnacentral:rRNA from 1 species
CCUACGGGAGACAGCAGUGGGGAAUAUUGGGCAAUGGGCGCAAGCCUGACCCAGCAACGCCGCGUGAAGGAAGAAGGCUUUCGGGUUGUAAACUUCUUUUAAGAGGGAAGAGCAGAAGACGGUACCUCUUGAAUAAGCCACGGCUAACUACGUGCCAGCAGCCGCGGUAAUACGUAGGUGGCAAGCGUUGUCCGGAUUUACUGGGUGUAAAGGGCGUGCAGCCGGGAAGACAAGUCAGAUGUGAAAGCCCGCGGCUCAACCGCGGAACUGCAUUUGAAACUGUUUUUCUUGAGUACCGGAGAGGUCAUCGGAAUUCCUGGUGUAGCGGUGAAAUGCGUAGAUAUAAGGAAGAACACCAGUGGCGAAGGCGGAUGACUGGACGGCAACUGACGGUGAGGCGCGAAAGCGUGGGGAGCAAACAGGAUUAGAUACCCCUGUAGUC